CCUGCCGGACCCCACUGCUAUCGGGAUAGGACUAAGACAUGCUAGUUGAGCGCUUCCAGCCAAUACGGGAGCGCAGCGCACAGCUCAGUAACACGUGGCUAAUCUGCCCUUGGGACCGGAACACCCCCGGGAAACUGGGGCUAAUUCUCGAUAGGUGAAGAACUCUGGAAUGAGUCUUUGCCAAAAAGACGUUUACGUUAUGCUCGUAGGCGUCGCCCAAGGAUGAGGCCGCGACCGAUCAGGUUGUUGGUGAGGUAAUGGCUCACCAAGCCUUUUACCGGUGCGGGCCGUGAGAGCGGGAGCCCGGAGAUGGGCACUGAGACAAGGGCCCAGGCCCUACGGGGCGCAGCAGUCGCGAAAACUUUGCAAUACACGAAAGUGUGACAGGGCUAUCCCGAGUGCCAUCCGCUGAGGAAGGCUUUUACCCAGUCUAGAACGCUGGGGGAAUAAGGAGAGGGCAAGUCUGGUGUCAGCCGCCGCGGUAAUACCAGCUCUCCGAGUGGUGUGGAUGUUUAUUGGGCCUAAAGCAUCCGUAGCUGGCUGAGUUAGUCCCUUGUUAAAUCCACCAAAUUAAUCGUUGGAUUGCGGGGGAUACUGCUCGGCUAGGGGACGAGAGAGGCAGACGGUAUUUCUGGGGUAGGGGUGAAAUCCUAUAAUCCCAGGAGGACCACCAGUGGCGAAAGCUGUCUGCUAGAACGCGCCCGACGGUGAGGGAUGAAAGCUGGGGAGCGAACCGGAUUAGAUACCCGGGUAGUCCCAGCUGUAAACGAUG
rnacentral:rRNA from 1 species